rnacentral:rRNA from 1 species
UACAGAGGUCCCAAGCGCUGUUCGGAUUCACUGGGCGUAAAGGGUGCGCAGGUGGGUUUGCAAGUUCGAUGUGAAAGCCCCGGGCUUAACCCGGGAAUGGCAUUGGAUACUGCAGAUCUGGAGGUUCGGAGGGGGGACUGGAAUUCUUGGUGUAGCAGUGAAAUGCGUAGAUAUCAAGAGGAACACCAGUGGCGAAGGCGAGUCCCUGGACGACACCUGACACUGAGGCACGAAAGCUAGGGGAGCAAACAGG